UGUUGGAGGUGAUUUGUGUAGCAUCUACCUGCAUGAGCAAGGAUCACAGUCUUGGAAUGCUCAGAUGAGAAUGCAUAUUAGUAGGUAGAUGUGGUGAUUCUUUUUUUUAUGGAAACGAAUUACAGGGCACUACUCAUUUAAAGCUAUAUAUGUCUUUUAAGGAAGAAUGCCUUGUGGCAUUUGAUUUGUAAAUAAGGGAAGGCUCAUGUUAGUCUCAGGAAGAUGUUAGAGACAAGGAACUGUGUCUUGGCCUGCUGGGAAUUUGUCAAUCUCAGGGGAUGCUUUUGUUUAAGUAGUCAAGAAAUUUCUCCCUGCUCUAAAUAGGGGGUGACCCAAAAGGGAAGGCCUGCUAAUCUCCCAGAGGGGACAGGUUAGGCUAUAGAAUAUGUUUAUUUGAGACCCUUUCAAUGAUGGAAAUUAAGAAAAAUCUGACCUGGAAAUCCACAGAGGGAAUUUUGCUUUCCCUUGUCAUUGUUCCAGCCAUUUUUGAAACUCUCACAUCCUUCAGCUCCUUUUUUUUUUUUUUUUUUUUAAAAACAACCUGGAAGGUCAUGACUCUUGGAUACAACUGGGCUUUGGCUUACUGCUCGGAAGGAUCAGCGAGAACCCUGUUGGGAUCUCCUAGAGUUGGAGGAUCCACUCUCUAGAAAGAGUCCACCUGCAUGCUUUCUGAUGGAGAUGGCACCAAAUGCUACCGGUAUCAAGCUUUGGGGUCAUUGGAUUGAAACAUAGACACACUGAAGACCCUUCUCAAAAGACAUGCAUCUUAACGCUACAUUCUGUGUUGAAAAUGUCUCGUGUCUGGGCCACAGGGUCUAUGGAAGGAAUCUGACAACCUUGUGUUCUCUGUGCCCAAAUGCACAGUGAUCUACAUGCAAGGUGUGAAACCUCCUUGAAUGGAACAGUCACAUCCCUAUUCAUAUCUCUGAUAUGUUGAUUCUGAGCUCUCUGUUCUCAGUGGAUCAGAUGUCUAUAGAUAGUGUGGGAAGACAUUUUUCUAGCGAGCAGUAGCCUGCUCUUUGGGAGAAAGUCUGACCUGAGCCCAUAUAGAGCAAACAGCUCAGAGGUGUGAAAUGUGGUAGUGGGGCAUCUGGGGCCUCCUAAGGACUCCCCUGUGAAGUGUCUCCUUCUGUGUGAUCUUUUUCAUCCAGGAUUCUUCACAGGGCUUGCAUCUGCUACAAAACCAAACUCAGUGAGAGACCACUGUGAACAGUUAGAGUCCUCAACUUCAUGGGGUCCACAUGGCAACAGACUGGCCGGUCUCUUCUGCCCCAUGGCGAGAUAGCCAGGGUCAGACCAGCAGAUGUUGGAACCAGAACAUGCCUUGGUCCCUGCUGCCUGUGUGCCUGUCCUGGGGCUGAAUUUUAGAAACUGAGCAGAAAAAGAAAAAAAAUCAAAUGAAAGGGAAAAAAUCAUGAUUAGUAGGACUCCAGUGAAGCAGAACCCACAAUUAACAAGAUUUCUCUAUAAUUUGAUGGCUCCUUAGAGGAGCACAUACUCCUGAAAAAAGGCUAAUUAUAUAUUUGUUUAUGCAGCCCACAAAUAGCGUCAUGACAGCCACUCGGGGCUGGAAGGGACCUCCAGAGGUCAUCCCAGCCCACCCUCAGCUUUAUCAGAAGGCUCUGUGGGUUGGAUCAUGCGUUGGAUUAGGUGGAACUGUUGGCGUUACCGGGUAACAUUUAAAUAGGAAAACAGAUUAGUCCCAGCUGGAAGGUUUGAAGCGCUCAUGUCCAUAAAUGUUAAUCAGAAGGUUUCAUAGGAAACAUAGGCAAAGGCAGAGAGAUGAUGAGUAGAUUCUAAACCACUGAAUUGAUUAAAGGAAGAAGAAUUUCUAGUCUAUUCCCAGCAGGCUAAGAAAUGGUUAGCGUUCCCUCUAAGAAAAUUUACUUCAUCCAACUGUAUUCCUUGUACCUCAAAAUGUUACACACAGGAAAAAAAAAAGGUGUCCUUUUGUGAUCCCCUGGCAUAUAAGUUAAGCUUGAAUUAUUCGUUGUUCCAAACUCACGGCCAUUUAUGCGAUUGGCUUAUACGCAAAGUGUUCAACUUAAGGGGGUGGUGGAGGGUUGGGGAGAACAAAGAUGUGGAUCCUCUUGUGAUCCUUUGGGGUAUAUGUGUGAACACUGAUGGGUCUCUUCAGGUGUCAGGGGUUUGGGGGUGAUUCUUUUUAUUUUUUGGCAUCAUUGGACAUCUUCAUGAUGGUAUAGCUGCAGGACCAAGUUUGGUUCUCAGGGUGAUGCUGCUGCCAGAGGCCCUCCAAACUCAUCUGGGGAGGGUGAUGGAAAUCAGGAGCGAUCUACCGGAAGCUGGAGCAGUGUGGCCAUGUUCCAGGAAGAUGGAAUGCUUUGUCCCAAGCGCCUGGUGGGAGACCACUUUCCCAUUUUGGUAGACCUCUGGGAUUUGGACAGGCCCAACUGUGGUCCAGGCAUCAGACCUUUGGAGAAAAGCUGCACCAGAUCUGGCAAAACCAGUGAUCCCAACCGGACCACAGUGUACCAAAUUCAAAGAAGCCUACUGUUACUGUUACUGUUUGUUUUCCUUUUGUUUAUCUUCUCUGGCCUUCUCCACGUGUGGUGAGGGCACCUUCACAAAUGGCCUUAGAAUGCCGUUCUGAAGUUUAACAGAAUGAGACAACCAUUAAACAAAUGUCAGAGGUAUUUAUUAUCACAGCUUACCUGAAGAAUGAAAAACAAAAAACUGUAUCACCAAUGUUUACAAGUCCAAGUAGACAUCCAGCCCAUGUAAAAUAUGUAAUUUAUGCAAGGGAUUGCAUCUUUCUUUUGUAACGAAUGCACUAAAGCAACUGUAUAUAUUUUACAAUGUCUUUACAGAAGAAAAAAAGAAUCAUUUACUGUAGUGUUGUAAAAUAAUGCACUUUUCUAAUUUUUUCAUUAAAAUCUCUAUGGCACGUUUGCAAA